GCUGUUGGUCUUUUAAUAAUUUAGGAUAGCUAUAUAGCUAUAUAUAUACAUAUAUAUUACACAAAUUAGCUUUUUGUCUGUCAUGUAUGUUGCAGAUCUGUUUCCCCAGUCUGUUGACUUUUGACUUUGAUGCAUUUUUCUUGCCUAUAAAGUUUUAAUUUUUAUGGAGUCAAAUGCAUCAGUCUUCUAUUCAAAGACUUAUUUAUGGGUUUGGUGUUUCAGUUUAGGAUGAAAAAGAAGUUGUAGAUAUGGAUAAAGGAGAUGGUUGUACAACACAUUAUAUUGGACCACUCAACUGUACGUUUAAACAUGGUUAAAAUGGCAUGUAUCAAACCAAGAAAGCGGCUAGGAGGGCAACACAUCUACCUGUAUACAGGGAGCUAUGAAAUACGUGAGCUGCGCAAGUGAUGCACAAGGAAACGGAAGCAGUAUGACCUUUACACAGUGACCUGGCUCAAAUAAUUUCAGGCUGUCAUUAACCAGGCGAGCUCCACUUUCUCUCUGAGGUUGGGUGUUAAUCUGAUGUGGUGCUCUUGGAGAAGCUUGCUUGAGUUCGGCGCUUUCUCAGCACGUGGUGUGUGCUGCCCCUUCAAGCUGCAGGAGUCCCAGAAGGUAAGUGCUGCUGCAACCCCCAUUUACUGGUGAACAGAGGUCAGGUGAUCUGCAGCCAACCAAGCAGCUGCUAAGUGGCCAACAGGCUGGAUCUGCAUCUAACUUGCAGAGGCCCUGCCUGGAUGCUGGGGCUGUCCUGAGACUCCCUCCUCCUCCUCCUCUUCCCUCCACAGCUCUCCUGGCUUCUAUCCAAAGCUGUGUUCCAGGUGGGGAACACCUAUGGAUGCACCAGGGUGCAACUACUCAGAGUCCAGUGUGCAGAAGGGCCCCUGCUCUAUGCUGUUUCCGUAUCCAAGCCCAAGCUCUUCUAGAGCUUCAGCAAA